rnacentral:tRNA from 1 species
GGGCCGGUAGCUCAGCCUGGAAGAGCGCCGCCCUUGCACGACCCCUAUAAUAGGGGGUCUGGCACCGGGGUCGGAGAGAGGCGGAGGUCCCGGGUUCAAAUCCCGGCCGGUCCA